rnacentral:other from 1 species
CUUUGCCUACCCUGUUGGUGAUAAGGAGAACAUGUUGAUCCGGCAAAUUAGAUCUUAUGGGAGCCUGCGUAAAGAGCUGGUGUGCAUGCCCUCUUUUAUAUGGAGAGGGAAGCCUAAAGGUAAUUUCAGGGCACCCACUUAUAUUAUAGGCGGAUCUAAUUUCUUCUUACACGGCAGGGUGGGUUUAUU